AGCAGCCGCGGUAAUUCCGGCUCCAAUAGCGUAUAUUAAAGUUGUUGCAGUUAAAAGCUCGUAGUUGAAUUUCGGGAUUGACGUGAUGGUCAUGCCUUAAGGGGUAUGAACUGUUACUGUUGAUUUCUCACCUUCUGGAGAAACUUGAUGUCCUUUAUUGGGUGUCUUGCGGAUCCAGGACCUUUACCUUGAAAAAUUAGAGUGUUUAAAGCAGGCAUUUUUGCUCGAAUACAUUAGCAUGGAAUAACAGAAUAGGACGGCAUGGUUCUAUUUUGUUGGUUUCUAGGACCACCGUAAUGAUUAAUAGGGAUAGUUGGGGGCAUUAGUAUUCAAUUGUCAGAGGUGAAAUUCUUGGAUUUAUUGAAGACUAACUACUGCGAAAGCAUUUGCCAAGGAUGUUUUCAUUAAUCAAGAACGAAAGUUAGGGAUCGAAGACGAUCAGAUACCGUCGUAGUCUUAACCAUAAACUAUGCCGAUAGGAAU
rnacentral:misc_RNA from 1 species